AUAAUGAUACUUCUGCCUAGCCGUAGACCGCGCUUUAAGGGCGUGUAUGCAAGCAUCGGGGGCAGUCCGGGCAGCGCCGGGAAGGUGAAAAUCCUAUGG
rfam:Firmicutes bacterium CAG:41 genomic scaffold, scf228